UUUAGAAGGCUGUAUUGUAGUGCAGAUGUCUCAUAGUCUACCUACAUUUUCUUAUUUGUAAAGCUGAAGAUUGGGGCUGUAUUUUGUCACCUGUUGCCUACACAGGUCAAAAAGGGCAGAGGGGAAGAAGAUUUACUGAUCAUGCAAGCUUUUGCAGAGAACUUGUUCAUUAUUUCAUUACCUAUUGGUAAAAAGCAGCCACUUUUUUCCCUCUGCUUUUAUGUGCCCCAGAAAAUCGUACAAUAUGUGUGCUCCUAACAGUGCCAGAGAAGCAUAAUGAGGUGUUUAGUCACAGUUUGGAUGUGGUAUUUGUAGAAAACAGUGCAGGAACUGUGGGCUGGAUUUUCAAGGGUAUAGUCCUUGUAAUCCAAGGCUGCCUAAAUCCCAAACUGGUAUCCAGGCAAUAGCGACACUAAAUUCUCCGUUUGCUUUUUGUUAGGCUCUUGUCUGCUGAACAUUUUCCUUUCCUUGCAAGGACUACAGCGUGGCUGAGCAUUUUGGUGGGGGGGUUCGUUGCUUUGGUUUAGGGUUUGGUUUUGUUUCUUGUUAACCCUUGGAUUUCUGUUGGCUCCCUUUAUUGCAGAGCAUCUCCGUAAAUAGGAAUGCAGACAGUCUGGAUGCCGGACUUGGAAAGUAUUUAAUGGUCAUUGGAAAAAAAUGAGGAAGAGGAGGGUGUGGCUGCUGCUGGGAGGCUCUGGCCCUGCAAAGGGUCCCUGGCUCGUAGAGAUGUGGUCCUGCAUCAGCACAAAACGAAGACUUCUUUUCGGAAAUGUAUGUUGAUCUUCUGAAGCUGAAUCCUCAGGCGUUUGUGGCCCGUCCUUGCAGCCUGGUCCUGCUCUGGCCCUUGGAAAGGCAUCGCUGGCUGUGGAGCUGCUGCAGCUCGCCCGAGGUCUGAGCCUGUGGAUUCAGCAUGGAGCCCUCAUCCCCAGCAGCCACUGGAGCCUGUGGAUUCAGCAUGGAGCCCUCAUCUCCAGCAGCCAGGUGGAGCAGCCCACUGAGAAAAGGGAGUUUGGUGCGUGACUGCAAGAUUCACCAGUGCCUCUUCCGCAGCUGCAUAUCAGCCUGGAGGUAGUCACCCUGUCAGGAGUGUAAAAUUUACAGCAGAAAUUAUUUUAAUGCUGGAAAAGCUCUUACUCAUCUGAACCAUCAUUCAAAAUGCACAGUGAAAGUCGCCAAGGAGAAGUUUUCCAUCCCACUGUCUGCAGGACUCCUGCAGGUCUUCUGAUGCUUAAGCAUAUCUGUCUCAGGCUGCCCCUAAAAUUAAAAUGAAGUAAUCUGGCAAAAUGAACUCAGAGCACACAAAGAGGAACCACUGGAGACUGAUCUGCAAGAUAUUCAGGUGUUGCUGUUGAGCAGAAAUUGGAAGGAAACUGUGAGGGUCAAUAGAUUGAGAAAAUGGUCCUGCCCAUCAUCAUAGGAAACCAUGAACCUCUCCACUCUGGGACAGGAGUGACCUGCAGUGACCAGCUCUGCUGCCUUAGGAACAUUAGCUGUACUUCUCAAAUAAGUUUCCCUGAUGACAUGCAAAUCAGAGUCUGUUAACCAUUGGCUGUUCCAGAUACGAUGUCAAAGCCAACAAGGGAGACUUGAUGUAGUAUUACUCAAAAGCAGAAGUAUUUUGAAACAGAAAGAAUGACUUACUGGGGAACCAGGUUAAAAACUAAAGAAGUGAAGAUUGGUCAUCUCUGCAGAGGAAAUUACAAGGUCUUUCUCAGGAGAAACAGCUGUAGAAUGUGGAAUCAGUUGUGUGGAAUUCCUGUUGGCAAGACCUUAGACCCUCGACUUCUGCUAGACCCAGCUGAGGGAUCAAAGAGAGAACUUUUGCAGAUCCCCACAGCAGUGAUGCUGAAAGCCAGGGCAGAUGGUUUCUGUCCCCCUGCAGUGUGACCAAGUGACCUCAGGGUGAGACAUGCUGAGUGAAACAGCUCUCCUUGAUCCAUGUGGGGCUGAUGGAUGCAGCAUUUAUUGUGCUCUUCAAUUAACUAGCAAAAGGUUACUUCACUGAUUAAGGUAGGCUGUUUGUUUUAAAAGUGUGCUUACAUAUUCAAGUAGUGUUUGUAUUAGAAUACAGACUGAUAUCUGUUAUUCCAACUUCUUUAAAUCCACCCUGAAUAGGAAGUGUUGUUGUCUAUCAAACCAGGUGGCAGGAAAUAACAACCCCCUCAAACUUGAGCAGAAGUUUGAAGCUACAGAAGCUGAUGUUGUAGUGGUAGUUCUGCUAAUCCCCCUAGCCAAGGCCUGUGUGGUACAGUGGAGUGUGUUUAAUUUGCUCAUCAAUUCAGAGCUGGGUUCCUGCUCAGUUAGGAGUAUUGCUGACUAAGCCACAAUUCCUCACAGUCUUAAAUUCAUUGCUCAGUCUUUGGGGUUUACCUAUGCAGAACUUGGGAAAUUCACUUUAGAGAACCUCAGUUCUUCCCCAUUAGGAUAAUGGAGAAGGAUCUGGAAGCAUGUUAAACAAUCCCUUUAUUCAGCAUCCAUUCUGAGUCAUAGUGAUGCCUUUCCCAAAGUGACAAACUGUUUGAUAAGGUACAGUCAUGUAGGAGCAGGCAGUACACAAGUGCAGUUAUUAAAAAUGAAUGCUGUAUCCUGUUUCCCUUGUGUAUCUUGUCACUGACAUGACUUCACAAGUUGCAAAUCUAUUAAACAUUUCAAACAUGGAACUGGAGCUCAUUAAGCAGAAUGUUGACUGGUAUAUAGCAAACCGUUUCACAUUCAAGACUGUUAACAUUUGUCUCCAGAGUUUUUUGUCUUCUAGGUUGUCACUAAGCAAUCCAGCUGUCUGGGAAUGCAGCCUGUGCUUCCUGUGAUCAGAAUGAGACUGUCCUUUGGGGUGAGGUAGUAGGUUGUAUAGUUUUAGGGCUAUGCCCUGCCUGUCAGAUAACUAUACAAUCUACUGUCUUUCCUGAAGUGGCUGUGAUGUCAGCGCUGGAUGGCUCCAAAAGCCAACAGAUAUUUUUCAACUGUACCAUUCUCUGGCUCUGUCUGCAUGUUUGGUUCUUGUACACAAAUGUACUGUAACACUCCUCAGAGUGUUUAGAUUCCUGUAUUUCCCAUUCAGGCUCAGAAGCCAUUUCCUUGUGGCAUUUUUGGAGAGCAGGUGGGGUGUGAGUGCAGGACACAGCGGUACAGCCCAGCCUGCAGUGGAUUUGCUCACACCCAGCUGUGUGGGACUGCCAUGGGAGUGGCCACUUGGAAACAGCUGAUCCAUCUCUCCCUUGUUUUCUGGCAUCUGUGUUCAUAUUAAACAUAAAUGGUACUUUUGAUUCAGCAGCUGUUUAAAUCCACUUGGUGUAGGCUGUUUGAGAAACUCCAAAGGGAUGAGCUGGACAAAACCCUGAGAGGAUGUCUUCCCAGUCAGUCGUGUUCUGCCCUGGAAAUGGUAAAUACUUGAACCCUGAGUAAGAGGUCUCUUCAGUCCAUUUUGGGCACUGAUUUAACUCACUUUUUUAUUACAUAUUGCUAGUUUUGGAGGGACAGUGUUUGCCACUGCAGUUCUCCUGUCUCUGCAGUCCCUCCACCAGUUCUGUCUGACUCCCAGGUGGAGCUGUGGGGAAGGGCUGAGGUCACACAUGGCCUCUCUAAGGCUGGAGAGUGAUAAGGUAAUUUACUUGCAAAUGGUGAGAUGUUUCCUUCAGAAGAUGCACGUGAUGCUCUAACAGGAUGAGGUAGUAGGUUGUGUGGUUUCAGGGUAGUGAUUUUGCCCCAAUCAGGAGAUAACUAUACAACCUACUGCCUUCCCUGAUAGGCAGCAUAACGACCUCAGUGUCUUAAUUCACAGAGAAACAAGAGCUAAGAUACACUCCUGAGAAAUACUUCUGAGACCAGCAAAGUAAGUCUAGAUACAGUUGUUGCUAUCCUGUCCCUAAUAGCUCUAAAUUUAGAUUUUAAGUGUAGAUUUUUGAUAACUGCCUGCAAAAUAAUUACCCUUUUUAAAGUCUUUAUCAUGAAAAAUUGAAUUAAAGAAGUUUUAUUUAUUUCAAAGUU